GACGAACGCUGGCGGCGUGCUUAACACAUGCAAGUCGAACGGAAAGGCCCUGCUUUUGUGGGGUGCUCGAGUGGCGAACGGGUGAGUAACACGUGAGUAACCUGCCCUUGACUUUGGGAUAACUUCAGGAAACUGGGGCUAAUACCGGAUAGGAGCUCCUGCUGCAUGGUGGGGGUUGGAAAGUUUCGGCGGUUGGGGAUGGACUCGCGGCUUAUCAGCUUGUUGGUGGGGUAGUGGCUUACCAAGGCUUUGACGGGUAGCCGGCCUGAGAGGGUGACCGGCCACAUUGGGACUGAGAUACGGCCCAGACUCCUACGGGAGGCAGCAGUGGGGAAUAUUGCACAAUGGGCGGAAGCCUGAUGCAGCAACGCCGCGUGCGGGAUGACGGCCUUCGGGUUGUAAACCGCGUUCGCCUGUGACGAAGCGUGAGUGACGGGAAUGGGUAAAGAAGCACCGGCUAACUACGUG
rnacentral:rRNA from 1 species